GACGAACGCUGGCGGCGUGCUUAACACAUGCAAGUCGAACGGAAAGGCCCUGCUUUUGUGGGGUGCUCGAGUGGCGAACGGGUGAGUAACACGUGAGUAACCUGCCCUUGACUUUGGGAUAACUUCAGGAAACUGGGGCUAAUACCGGAUAGGAGCUCCUGCUGCAUGGUGGGGGUUGGAAAGUUUCGGCGGUUGGGGAUGGACUCGCGGCUUAUCAGCUUGUUGGUGGGGUAGUGGCUUACCAAGGCUUUGAUGGGUAGCCGGCCUGAGAGGGUGACCGGCCACAUUGGGAUGGGGGAACGGCCCAGGCGCAUUCGGGAGGAAGCAGUGGGGAAUAGUGCACAACGGGCGGAAGCCUGAUGCAGCAACUCCGCGUGCGGGAUGACGGCCUUCGGGUUGUAAACGGCUUUCGCCUGUGACGAAGCGUGAGGGACGGUAAUGGGUAAAGAAGCACCGGCUAACUACGU
rnacentral:rRNA from 1 species